rnacentral:lncRNA from 1 species
CUUGUCUAAACAAAGAAGUACCUCCAUUACAUAACCUUGCUCAAAACUAUUAUAUAGAUUUUUUGAAAUCUCAAGCUUUUUUCUAUAAGCCCACAUUUUAUAAGAAAGCCUUGUAUUAAAGUAAAAGUAGAAUAAGUUAUCUUAUAGAGGAUAUUAACUUAGGUAACUGUGAUUUUUAUUUUAUUUAUUCUACAAUUCUUUCUAGAAUAAAUUUAUAUAGGAGAAUUCGAACACAUAGUAACAAUACUCCUUCAUCAACAAAUAACCACAAUGUGCAACCCUACACUCUCAAAAGAUUGUUCAAAACUCAAUAAAUUCCAUCUAACACCAGGAAUAACAGACUUCACUCCAACCAAUCUGAAUUCACAAAAUUCUUGUAAUCACAGACUUCUUCUAUCAAAAUACAUACACAACUCUCAAAAAAUAACAAUCAUAAUCUUCCAUCCAUAAUCAAUCUUUCAAUAACUUCUCAUAUAAUUCAAUCACUCAGUACUC